AGAAAGCUGGCUUCUGUGUCUGUUCAUUCAGUUUAGGCAGCCUUCAUGCAAAAUGCCUAUAUCUGCACAUCCGUGUUCAAGUCAGAACACGGUCUCUGUUCAGCUCUGGUAGUAUUGUAAUAUUUUGUUGUUUGGUAUUGCUAAUCUAGCAUUUUAUGGCACAGAUUCCAUCAGAGGUUACAAUACUUUCUAUCUUUCUAGUAUGCAUCUGUUGCUAGCAUGUCACACAGUCACAGCUGAAAUUCUUUAUGGAAUGCAGGUGAUUAGAUGAAUAAUUAUUUUAACAGGAUGGGAUUACGACUAUUUUGUUGGUUUAGAUUGGGAAAUGUUCAUUAUUUAAUUGUUUAUAGUUUCACAAACCCUGGGGUCAUCUCUUGUAGAAUGUAUAUGUGCACACGCACACAGUCUGCCAUUAUUCCUUAUUAGAAUAUUGCAGGUUAAAUGUGUGAUCAGACCCUCUGAGUGACUGCCUGCAGUUUGCCAAUUUAAAGCUUCUGUAACUUUCAUUUUCAAUCAAUGUGUUCCGCUAAUCUCACACGUUAAGGUGCAACCUUAACACUAAAUGAUUCUGCUACUCUGACAGCUCUGACCCAGCCAACACAACCAUACAGCUUGAUUGCUCCCCCUUCCCUCCAGUAAUUUGGUUGUAGGAUUUUAGUAGCAAUGAGAGUUUAUUUGUUAAAG